UACAGAGGUCCCGAGCGUUGUUCGGAUUCACUGGGCGUAAAGGGUGCGCAGGUGGUUUGGCAAGUUUGAUGUGAAAGCCCCGGGCUUAACCCGGGAAUGGCAUUGAAUACUGCUUGAACUGGAGGGUUGGAGGGGGGACUGGAAUUCUUGGUGUAGCAGUGAAAUGCGUAGAUAUCAAGAGGAACACCAGUGGCGAAGGCGAGUCCCUGGACAAACCCUGACGCUGAGGCACGAAAGCGUGGGGAGCAAACAGG
rnacentral:rRNA from 1 species